rnacentral:rRNA from 1 species
AGACCCGAAACCCGGUGAUCUAGCCAUGGGCAGGUUGAAGGUUGGGUAACACUAACUGGAGGACCGAACCGACUAAUGUUGAAAAAUUAGCGGAUGACUUGUGGCUGGGGGUGAAAGGCCAAUCAAACCGGGAGAUAGCUGGUUCUCCCCGAAAGCUAUUUAGGUAGCGCCUCGUGAAUUCAUCUCCGGGGGUAGAGCACUGUUUCGGCAAGGGGGUCAUCCCGACUUACCAACCCGAUGCAAACUGCGAAUACCGGAGAAUGUUAUCACGGGAGACACACGGCGGGUGCUAACGUCCGUCGUGAAGAGGGAAACAACCCAGACCGC